GGAAAAAAAAAAAUCGAGACUGAAUAAUAAAAUCCUUGCGUUGAAUAUAAAAAAAGGUGGACUAGGACUACUAACUAUAAGACAGAUAUAUAAGGCCAACUCACUAUACCAUAUGUCAUAAUUAAAAUAAUAUUCAAGAGGCAUGGUACAAAAUAGAAUGUGAAAUAAGUAAAAAGAAAAAUGUAUUGCUGAUAAUAUGGAGCAAUAUUUCA